rnacentral:rRNA from 1 species
AACGAACGCUGGCGGCAUGCCUAACACAUGCAAGUCGAACGAGACCAUCGGGACUAGUGGCGCACGGGGGCGUAACGCGUGGGAACCGGCACACAGGGUCGGAAUAACUCUACGAAAGGGGUGCUAACACCGGAUAAGGUCUUCGGACCCAAGAUUUCUCGACCUGGUAUGGGCACGAGUUGGAUUAGCUAGUUGGGAGGGUAAAAGCCUACCAAGGCGUCGAUCCAUAGCUGGGUUGAGAGACUGGUCAGCCACUCUUGGACUGAGACACGGCCCGGAAUCCUCCGCGAGGCAGCAGUGCGGGAUAUUGCACCAUCGCCGAAGGCCUGAUGCACCUCUGCCGCGAGAGUGCUGAAGGCCUUAAAGUUGUAAAGCUCUUUUACCCGUGAUGAUAAUGACAGUACCGAAAGAAUAAGCUCCGGCUAACUCCGUG